rfam:Candidatus Blackburnbacteria bacterium RIFCSPHIGHO2_12_FTLL_41_13b rifcsphigho2_12_scaffold_15228, whole genome shotgun sequence.
GCCAAGCUAGCCAAGUUGGUCACGGCGGGCCCCUGAAGAGGGUCAGAUUUCGGUUCGAUUCCGGAGCUUGGCA